UUAGCUCAGUGGUCUAGAGCAUCGGUCUUAUGUCCCGUAGCGGAAAGAGAGCCGGCGGUCGUGGGUUCGAGCCCCUCAU
rnacentral:tRNA from 1 species